rnacentral:rRNA from 1 species
UGAGUAACCUGCCCUUAACUCUGGGAUAAGCCUGGGAAACUGGGUCUAAUACCGGAUAUGACUCCUCAUCGCAUGGUGGGGGGUGGAAAGCUUUUUGUGGUUUUGGAUGGACUCGCGGCCUAUCAGCUUGUUGGUGAGGUAAUGGCUCACCAAAGCGACGACGGGUAGCCGGCCUGAGAGGGUGACCGGCCACACUGGGACUGAGACGCGGCCCAGACUCCUACGGGAGGCAG